rnacentral:rRNA from 1 species
GAACGCUGGCGGCGUGCCUAAUACAUGCCAGUCGAGCGAACAGACGAGGAGCUUGCUCCUCUGACGUUAGCGGCGGACGGGUGAGUAACACGUGGAUAACCUACCUAUAAGACUGGGAUAACUUCGGGAAACCGGAGCUAAUACCGGAUAAUAUAUUGAACCGCAUGGUUCAAUAGUGAAAGACGGUUUUGCUGUCACUUAUAGAUGGAUCCGCGCCGCAUUAGCUAGUUGGUAAGGUAACGGCUUACCAAGGCAACGAUGCGUAGCCGACCUGAGAGGGUGAUCGGCCACACUGGAACUGAGACACGGUCCAGGCUCCUACGGGAGGCAGCAGUAGGGAAUCUUCCGCAAUGGGCGAAAGCCUGACGGAGCAACGCCGCGUGAGUGAUGAAGGUCUUCGGAUCGUAAAACUCUGUUAUUAGGGAAGAACAAAUGUGUAAGUAACUAUGCACGUCUUGACGGUACCUAAUCAGAAAGCCACGGCUAACUACGUG